rnacentral:rRNA from 2 species
GAGUUUGAUCAUGGCUCAGAUUGAACGCUGGCGGCAUGCCUUACACAUGCAAGUCGAACGGCAGCACGGGAGCUUGCUCCUGGUGGCGAGUGGCGAACGGGUGAGUAAUGCAUCGGAACGUAUCCUGGAGUGGGGGGAUAACGUAGCGAAAGUUACGCUAAUACCGCAUAUUCUGUGAGCAGGAAAGCGGGGGACCUUCGGGCCUCGCGCUCUUGGAGCGGCCGAUGUCGGAUUAGCUAGUUGGUGAGGUAAAGGCUCACCAAGGCGACGAUCCGUAGCAGGUCUGAGAGGAUGAUCUGCCACACUGGAACUGAGACACGGUCCAGACUCCUACGGGAGGCAGCAGUGGGGAAUUUUGGACAAUGGGGGCAACCCUGAUCCAGCCAUGCCGCGUGAGUGAAGAAGGCCUCGGUU